rnacentral:rRNA from 1 species
AUGCAAGUCGAACGAGAAAUCUUUAGCUUGCUAGAGAAAGUAAAGUGGCGCACGGGUGAGUAACGCGUGGGUAAUCUGCCUCCGAAUCGGGGAUAACAUUGCGAAAGCGAUGCUAAUACCGGAUAAAAUCUGGUUGGCUUCGGUGAACCGGAUCAAAGGUGGUCUCUUUAUAAAAGCUACCGUUUGGAGAUGAGCUCGCGUACCAUUAGCUAGUUGGUGAGGUAAAGGCUCACCAAGGCGACGAUGGUUAGCUGGUCUGAGAGGAUGAUCAGCCACACCGGAACUGGAACACGGUCCGGACUCCUACGGGAGGCAGCAGUGAGGAAUUUUGCGCAAUGGGGGAAACCCUGACGCAGCAACGCCGCGUGAGUGAUGAAGGCUUUCGGGUCGUAAAGCUCUGUCAGGUGGGAAGAACCCACCAAGUGUUAAGACCACUUGGUGCUGACGGUACCACCGAAGGAAGCACCGGCUAACUCCGUGCCAGCAGCCGCGGUAAUACGGGGGGUGCGAGCGUUAUUCGGAAUCAUUGGGCGUAAAGGGCGCGCAGGCGGUUUUGUAAGUCAGAUGUGAAAUCCCGGGGCUUAACCCCGGAAGUGCAUAUGAAACUAUGAGACUUGAGUAUGGGAGAGGGAAGCGGAAUUCCUGGUGUAGCGGUGAAAUGCGUAGAUAUCAGGAGGAACACCGGUGGCGAAGGCGGCUUCCUGGACCAAUACUGACGCUGAGGCGCGAAGGCGUGGGGAGCGAACAGGAUUAGAUACCCUGGUAGUCCACGCAGUAAACGUUGAUCACUAGGUGUACCGGGUAUUGACCCCUGCUGUGCCGGAGUUAACGCCAUUAAGUGAUCCGCCCUGGGGAGUACGAUCGCAAGAUUAAAACCUCGACGGAAUUGACGGGGGCCCGCACAAGCGGGUGAAGCAUGUGGUUCACUUCGACGCAACGCGAAGAACCUUACCUGGACUUGACAUCUCGGGAAAAAUUUC